rnacentral:rRNA from 1 species
AGAGUUUGAUCCUGGCUCAGGACGAACGCUGGCGGCACGCUUAACACAUGCAAGUCGAACGAGAGAAGAGGAGCUUGCUUUUCUGAUCUAGUGGCGGACGGGUGAGUAACACGUGAGCAAUCUGCCUUUCAGAGGGGGAUACCGAUUGGAAACGAUCGUUAAUACCGCAUAACAUAAUUGAACCGCAUGAUUUGAUUAUCAAAGAUUUAUCGCUGAAAGAUGAGCUCGCGUCUGAUUAGCUAGUUGGUAAGGUAACGGCUUACCAAGGCGACGAUCAGUAGCCGGACUGAGAGGUUGAUCGGCCACAUUGGGACUGAGACACGGCCCAGACUCCUACGGGAGGCAGCAGUGGGGAAUAUUGCACAAUGGAGGAAACUCUGAUGCAGCGAUGCCGCGUGAGGGAAGAAGGUUUUAGGAUUGUAAACCUCUGUCUUCAGGGACGAAAAAAGACGGUACCUGAGGAGGAAGCUCCGGCUAACUACGUGCCAGCAGCCGCGGUAAUACGUAGGGAGCGAGCGUUGUCCGGAAUUACUGGGUGUAAUGGGAGCGUAGGCGGGAUCGCAAGUCAGAUGUGAAAACUAUGGGCUUAACCCAUAAACUGCAUUUGAAACUGUGGUUCUUGAGUGAAGUAGAGGUAAGCGGAAUUCCUAGUGUAGCGGUGAAAUGCGUAGAUAUUAGGAGGAACAUCAGUGGCGAAGGCGGCUUACUGGGCUUUAACUGACGCUGAGGCUCGAAAGCGUGGGGAGCAAACAGGAUUAGAUACCCUGGUAGUCCACGCCGUAAACGAUGAUUACUAGGUGUGGGGGGACUGACCCCUCCCGUGCCGCAGCAAACGCAAUAAGUAAUCCACCUGGGGAGUACGACCGCAAGGUUGAAACUCAAAGGAAUUGACGGGGGCCCGCACAAGCAGUGGAGUAUGUGGAUUAAUUCGAAGCAACGCGAAGAACCUUACCAGGUCUUGACAUCGUAUGCAUAGCUCAGAGAUGAGUGAAAUCUCUUCGGAGACAUAUAGACAGGUGGUGCAUGGUUGUCGUCAGCUCGUGUCGUGAGAUGUUGGGUUAAGUCCCGCAACGAGCGCAACCCUUACUGUUAGUUGCUACGCAAGAGCACUCUAGCAGGACUGCCGUUGACAAAACGGAGGAAGGUGGGGAUGACGUCAAAUCAUCAUGCCCCUUAUGACCUGGGCCUCACACGUACUACAAUGGCUGUCAACAGAGGGAAGCAAAGCCGCGAGGUGGAGCGAACCCCUAAAAGCAGUCUUAGUUCGGAUUGUAGGCUGCAACCCGCCUACAUGAAGUCGGAAUUGCUAGUAAUCGCAGAUCAGCAUGCUGCGGUGAAUACGUUCCCGGGCCUUGUACACACCGCCCGUCACGCCAUGGGAGUCGGUAACACCCGAAGCCUGUAGUCUAACCGCAAGGAGGACGCAGUCGAAGGUGGGAUUGAUGACUGGGGUGAAGUCGUAACAAGGUA